rnacentral:rRNA from 1 species
AUAAACCUGAUGAGUUGCUGCUGGCUCUCUAUCUAGGGAGCAUGUGCACACUUGUCGUCUUUAUAUCUCCACCUGUGCACCUUUUGUAGACCUGGAUAACUUUCUGAGUCAGGUUUGAGGAUUGAUCUCUCCUUACAUUUCCAGGUCUAUGUUUCUUCAUAUACCCCCAAUGUAUGUUAUAGAAUGUAAUAAACGGGCCUUUUGUGCCUAUAAACCUAUACAACUUUCAGCAACGGAUCUCUUGGCUCUCGCAUCGAUGAAGAACGCAGCGAAAUGCGAUAAGUAAUGUGAAUUGCAGAAUUCAGUGAAUCAUCGAAUCUUUGAACGCACCUUGCGCUCCUUGGUAUUCCGAGGAGCAUGCCUGUUUGAGUGUCAUAUAUAUAUAUCAACCUCUUCAGCUUUUGCUUGUCGAGUGUUGGAUGUGGGGGAUCAGCUCCCCUGAAAUACAUUAGCGGAACAAUUUGCUGACCCGUUCAUUGGUGUGAUAACUAUCUACGCUAUUGACGUUAAGCAGUUCAGCUUCUAACAGUCCAUUGACUUGGACAAAUUUUUUUUCAUUAAUGUGACCUCAAAUCAGGUAGGACUACCCGCUGAACUUAAGCAUAUCAAUAAGCGGAGGAAAAGAAACUAACAAGGAUUCCCCUAGUAACUGCGAGUGAAGCGGGAAAAGCUCAAAUUUAAAAUCUGGCAGUCAUCUGGCUGUCCGAGUUGUAAUCUAGAGAAGCGUUAUCCGCGCUGGACCGUGUACAAGUCUCCUGGAAUGGAGCGUCAUAGAGGGUGAGAAUCCCGUCUUUGACACGGACUGCCAGGGCUUUGUGAUGCGCUCUCAAAGAGUCGAGUUGUUUGGGAAUGCAGCUCAAAAUGGGUGGUAAAUUCCAUCUAAAGCUAAAUAUUGGCGAGAGACCGAUAGCGAACAAGUACCGUGAGGGAAAGAUGAAAAGAACUUUGGAAAGAGAGUUAAACAGUACGUGAAAUUGCUGAAAGGGAAACGCUUGAAGUCAGUCGCGUUGGCCAGGGAUCAACCUUGCUUCUGCUUGGUGUACUUUCUGGUUGACGGGUCAGCAUCAAUUUCGACCAUUGGAAAAAAGUCAGGGGAAUGUGGCAUCUUCGGAUGUGUUAUAACCCUUGGUUGCAUACAAUGAUUGGGAUUGAGGAACUCAGCACGCCGCAAGGCCGGGUGUAAACCACGUACGUGCUUAGGAUGCUGGCAUAAUGGCUUUAAUCGACCCGUC